rnacentral:rRNA from 1 species
GAUGAACGCUAGCGGCAGGCUUAACACAUGCAAGUCGAGGGGUAUGGGUUUUCGGACCUAGAGACCGGCGCACGGGUGCGUAACGCGUAUGCAACCUACCUUUUACAGGGGGAUAGCCCAGAGAAAUUUGGAUUAAUACCUCAUAGUAUUAUGAUGUGGCAUCACAUUAUAAUUAAAGUCACAACGGUAAAAGAUGGGCAUGCGUCCCAUUAGCUAGAUGGUAAGGUAACGGCUUACCAUGGCGACGAUGGGUAGGGGUCCUAAGAGGGAGAUCCCCCACACUGGUACUGAGACACGGACCAGACUCCUACGGGAGGCAGCAGUGAGGAAUAUUGGACAAUGGGCGCAAGCCUGAUCCAGCCAUGCCGCGUGCAGGAUGACGGUCCUAUGGAUUGUAAACUGCUUUUGUACAGGAAGAAACACUCCCUCGUGAGGGAGCUUGACGGUACUGUAAGAAUAAGGAUCGGCUAACUCCGUGCCAGCCGCCGCCGUAACAC